rnacentral:rRNA from 1 species
AGUGAACGCUGGCGGUAGGCCUAACACAUGCAAGUCGAACGGCAGCACAGGAGAGCUUGCUCUCUGGGUGGCGAGUGGCGGACGGGUGAGGAAUACAUCGGAAUCUACUCUGUCGUGGGGGAUAACGUAGGGGAACUUACGCUAAUACCGCAUACGACCUACGGGUGAACGCAGGGGACCUUCGGGCCUUUCGCGAUUGAAUGAGCCGAUGUCGGAUUAGCGAGUUGGCGGGGUAAAGGCCCACCAAGGCGACGAUCCGUAGCUGGGCUGAGAGGAUGAUCAGCCACACUGGAACUGAGACACGGUCCAGACUCCUACGGGAGGCAGCAGUGGGGAAUAUUGGACAAUGGGCGCAAGCCUGAUCCAGCCAUACCGCGUGGGUGAAGAAGGCCUUCGGGUUGUAAAGCCCUUUUGUUGGGAAAGAAAUCCAGCUGGCUAAUACCCGGUUGGGAUGACGGUACCCAAAGAAUAAGCACCGGCUAACUUCGUGCCAGCCGCCGCCGUAA